rnacentral:rRNA from 1 species
AGACCCGAAACCCGGUGAUCUAGCCAUGGGCAGGUUGAAGGUUGGGUAACACUAACUGGAGGACCGAACCGACUAAUGUUGAAAAAUUAGCGGAUGACUUGUGGCUGGGGGUGAAAGGCCAAUCAAACCGGGAGAUAGCUGGUUCUCCCCGAAAGCUAUUUAGGUAGCGCCUCGUGAAUUCAUCUCCGGGGGUAGAGCACUGUUUCGGCAAGGGGGUCAUCCCGACUUACCAACCCGAUGCAAACUGCGAAUACCGGAGAAUGUUAUCACGGGAGACACACGGCGGGUGCUAACGUCCGUCGUGAAGAGGGAAACAACCCAGACCGCCAGCUAAGGUCCCAAAGUCAUGGUUAAGUGGGAAACGAUGUGGGAAGGCCCAGACAGCCAGGAUGUUGGCUUAGAAGCAGCCAUCAUUUAAAGAAAGCGUAAUAGCUCACUGGUCGAGUCGGCCUGCGCGGAAGAUGUAACGGGGCUAAACCAUGCACCGAAGCUGCGGCAGCGACACUGUGUGUUGUUGGGUAGGGGAGCGUUCUGUAAGCCUGUGAAGGUGUACUGUAAGGUAUGCUGGAGGUAUCAGAAGUGCGAAUGCUGACAUAAGUAACGAUAAAGCGGGUGAAAAGCCCGCUCGCCGGAAG